rnacentral:lncRNA from 1 species
UUUUCCUCAGCACAAGGCAUUGAGUAGGGCUCAUGGAUGCAUUGUUUCCACAGUGAGGCCAUGUGCUUACUGAGGGAUUAGGUCCUACUGGUGUCUGCACCCUUGCCAAGUAGAUUGAGUUUGCUGACUGAGUCAGCCUCAGCGGUGUGCAUUUUACCCAGGAAAUGAAGGAGCAUCUCUUCUCUCUUUGGUGUGAGUAGUUUGAGCAACUGAGUGCAGCUUCCAAAUGUUUCCACGUACAGAGAACAGAAGACAAGAGAGCUUGCUUGGGAGGUUCACUGUUCAGCAAACACUAAGCAGCUCCCUGGAACCAGGUAAACCCAUGAGCUCUGGGGAAACAUGGAACUUUCUUCCUACUAUCGAGGGUUAGAUAAGUGAACCAGAAAAGGAAGAAAGUGAAGCCAAAGUGCUUAGAUGAAAACAUGACACGCUACAGAAGGUCAUCCCAAGGGGCUGCCUUGGAUUAAAAGGCAGAAAAAGCCCAAGGAAAUAAUAUUCAACAGAGACUGGUGUGACGCAGAAAAGACUCAGCACAUAGUGUGUGCUGGGUGAGCAGGCCAGGCAGACGGUGAUGGCCAAGUCACUGUUUGGAAGCAAGCUUGUUAUAUUGAGGAGCUGAAGGUGGCCAGAAUUAGGAGUUCCAAGGGGGAGGAGUUGGGAUUGAGCUCUGAGAGUGUCUGAGGUGGUGAGCAGUCAGAUACUUCUAGCCUGGAGCUAGAACAGUAGCAGAGAAAAUAGAAGAGGUGCAUUUGGGAUAUUUUGGAAAUUUAAGAUAACAUAGUGUUUUAGCUUUAACUCUUGAGAGGACACAUCUAGAGUCAUCAGGAAGGGAUCAGUUAAAGGAUUGCCCAGAUUGCAUUGACUUGUGGGCAUGUCUGUAGGGGGAUGGAUUGUCUCGGUUGCAUUCAUUAAUGUAUAGAGCCCAGUCCACUGCUGGAAGCACCAUUCCCUCGGCAGGGGGUCCUGGGCUGUAUCUCUAAGCAUGGGUCUAUAACCAAGCCAGCAAGCAGCAUUCCUCUAUGGUUUCUGCUUUACGUUCCUGCUUGUUUUCCUGCUCUGACUUCCCUCAACAAUGGAUCAACCUAUAAGAUGAAAUAAAUCCUUUCCUUCCCUGAGUUGCUUUUGGUCAUGAGUUGUAUUUGUCACUGCAGCAGAAUGAAACUGGAACACUUAGUAAAGCAUUGUAUAUGGGGGCAAGGACUAGACAGACACAGGAAGGUCGCCAUGCUUCCAACUCAAGCGAAAUAAAAACGUACACACAGUUCACUGAGAUGCUUGCUGUCAGAGGGAUGAGAUGCCCAGAGUUCUGUUCUGGAUAUGCUACUUCUGAAAUUGAUGGCCACUGUCAUGUUGGUAGGUUAUAGCUGUGAAUGACCAGUUCCACAGAAAGAUUGGAGUAGAGAGAAAGUUGGUGUUUAGAGAGGGCCAAAGACAUGACAGGCAGACAAGCAAGAGAAUGUGGUCUGUGGAAAGCUUCCUACAUUUUCAAGCUCGUGUAUGAAAAUAUGUGACAGAUUUUUCCACACUGAUGAUCUUAAACAUCUCCAUGCUACUAUCAACUUCAAAAGCUAAAGCCAGUAAAUCCCUCUAAACUUGAAAUGUUGAAAGGCAUCCCAGUACUAACCACACUCAAAGAAAACUUCUGUCCUCUUCUACAGGAAACAUUAAAGAAUAUAAUAGAUACAUGUAUAUAUUUUAAUAUAUGAUAUAUUGAUAUAUACAUGUAUAUACAUAUAUAUUAAAAGGUGUAUCUUAUAUAUUUCUUCUUAGGAAGAAAGUACUUAAAUAGUCUUUAGUUAACACACAGAGAAAUGUAUUGGGAAGUUGAUAAAAAUGUAUUCUAUUUAAGUGGAAAUUUUUGUGAAUUUUUCUAGUCUUCUUCAGUUUAUAAUUCAUAAUGUGCUUUUCAUCCUGGAUAAGCAUCUGCGUUUGUGAUUUAAUUUGUAUUUGCAAGCGUUUCUUUUUCCUAUAGAAAAACUCCAGAAUCAUGUAAACAUCGGGUCCUUUGAACUUGGUUCUGGCCCACAGGAGCCUGGCUCUCAGGCUGACCGUGGUGUGCCAGAGGUUCCUUGAAUCUGGUGGUGAUACUCAGAACGAUAGACCUGCUUUUCAAUUUCCUACAGGACUGAGAGCCAGACAGGAUGCUCUGAUCAUUUCCUUUUGAUCUAAGGGCUGUGGUGAUUCUCUUGAGUAAGAGCCAGGGGGAGCACGCGCUCACCAGUCAGAGUAAAACCAUGACUCAGAGUGUGCAGAGUCGCGCCCGUCUUCUUGGGAAGUUUUCAGUAUCAAAACAUGUUGUGUAUUUGAGUGAAAGGUAAAAUUCACAUUCAGUGGAUGGAAAUUUCUUGUAAGAAGAUAUAAAACCCCCUAACACUUUCUAUUCUUGAAAAUGAGAGUUAUUUUUGCCAAAGGAUCUGAGACCUGAGUGCAUAUAUAGAUAUUUUUAAAUUGGUAGGUUAUGCUAAAGCGUCUGAUUCUGUGAUUUCAUUCACCAGUUUUCAUCUUCCCCUAAACUAUGCGCCGUGGUUUUAAAAACACAGGAUGUGUGGGCUGGAGGAAUUAAAAGUACUUUUAGAUUUGCAAAAUUUUAAUUUAAAGCCAUGAGUUUCUUUGUCUUAAUAUCUGCUUUCUUGAUUGGAUUAUUUUGUGGUUUUAAAAACAUUUCAGAUUUGUAAAACAGAACAGACUUACUACAGAAGGAGCAUAGAAUCAGAAUCCAGCCCAGCACAUUGCCCCUUCUCUUGGGAAACAGGCACAGGAGGGCCUGUACUGUUAGGGGAUAGGCUGGCUCCUGAUCGUUUCACUGAUGCAGGUUGGUUUGAUCUGAGUACUGAAGCGCAAUGUUAUGGGAUUUUCAUUGUGGUUGGAAAUAAUAUGGUAUGGCACUCGAAUUGUGUUCUUCCUAAGACUUGGGUGCCGAAAUCUUUAACAGACAGUAAACUUCCUCAGCCUCAGGCCUCAGCCCCCUGAGGUUUAUACAGCUGAAAUCUGUUCCUUUGGGACUUUUAAAGAUUGGGAUCAUUUGUCUAGUCAACAAAAAUUAUAGCAGACUGUAGUAGCAAAAACACCCCUGUAAAUUGUAAAAUUGUGCAUCUUACUCUAGAGAGAUCCCCUCUCAAACGUCUGUGCUGCUAUAACUAAAUCCAACUGUUCUUGCCUAAGGAUCAUCACAGGCGAUGGCUUGCGUGUAGAGAUUCCUUCUAUUACCUGGAAUCUUAGACAGAUCAUUUCUAAAAUGGUUUCAAGUGUGAUUUAUGGGGAUUGAUGUCAGACUACUCAUACCCACAGGAGAGAGAAAACUUCUAAAAUGUCGUGUCACUCCUGGAGAUGAAAGAAAUUUGUGAAUGAAUUUGAUAAUAAAUAUUUCUGGACAUGGAAAACCACAGAAAAUUACUGAGAGAAAUCUUAAAUGGCUAAAAGAGGGCUUCAUUCAUUUUUAUUUGGUUUACUGUGUUUUACCAAUACUGUUGAUUUUUAGGUUUUAACUUAUGUCCUGUGUCUUUAGAUUUUUAAAUCAUGUUGUAAAGGCCUGUUUUAUUCUGAGGUUAUGGAAGAAGCUUAUUCCUAUUUAUUCUAGAACUCUGAAUUUUCUAUUUCACAUGCUACAUUAAAUCUUCUAUGCACUGU